rnacentral:lncRNA from 1 species
AGGGAUGAACAGUUUCUGAUCUAUGAUCCAUGAAAAUAUGAAAGAUUGAAUUUAAGUACUAAUUAUUUUUAGAUUAGAUCUGAAUUAAUUAAGUUUAAUUGGGUCUAAAAUUUUAAGUUAAACUUGGUACAAAAGUUCUAAAGAGUUUGGAAUUGACAGCCUUUCGAAAUUGUUUCAAACCAGCUUCGAAUUGGAUUCGAAUCGGAUUCAUUUGGAUGAGAUAUG